rnacentral:rRNA from 1 species
GUGGGGAAUAUUGGACAAUGGGCGAAAGCCUGAUCCAGCCAUGCCGCGUGUGUGAAGAAGGUCUUCGGAUUGUAAAGCACUUUAAGUUGGGAGGAAGGGCAGUAAGUUAAUACCUUGCUGUUUUGACGUUACCGACAGAAUAAGCACCGGCUAACUUCGUGCCAGCAGCCGCGGUAAUACGUAGGGUGCAAGCGUUAAUCGGAAUUACUGGGCGUAAAGCGCGCGUAGGUGGUUUUGUAAGUUGGAGGUGAAAUCCCCGGGCUCAACCUGGGAACUGCCUCCAAAACUGCAUGACUAGAGUACGGUAGAGGGUAGUGGAAUUUCCUGUGUAGCGGUGAAAUGCGUAGAUAUAGGAAGGAACACCAGUGGCGAAGGCGACUACCUGGACUGAUACUGACACUGAGGUGCGAAAGCGUGGGGAGCAAACAGGAUUAGAAACCCGAGUAGUCC